rnacentral:rRNA from 1 species
UGGGGAAUAUUGCACAAUGGGCGCAAGCCUGAUGCAGCAACGCCGCGUGAGGGACGACGGCCUUCGGGUUGUAAACCUCUUUUAGCAGGGAAGAAGCGAAAGUGACGGUACCUGCAGAAAAAGCACCGGCUAACUACGUGCCAGCAGCCGCGGUAAUACGUAGGGGGCAAGCGUUAUCCGGAAUUAUUGGGCGUAAAGAGUGCGUAGGUGGUUUUGUAAGCGCGGGGUGAAAGGCAAUAGCUCAACUAUUGUAAGCCCUGCGAACUGUAAGACUUGAGUGCAGGAGAGGAGAGCGGAAUUCCGAGUGUAGCGGUGAAAUGCGUAGAUAUUAGGAGAAACACCAGUGGCGAAGGCGGCUUUCUGGACUGUAACUGACACUGAGGCACGAAAGAGUGGGGAGCAAACA